rnacentral:lncRNA from 1 species
UUGAAAUUCAAAAAUGUAAAUAAAUAAUUUAAAAUAGUGCGAGAUGAAAAUCGACAAAAAAAAAUGUGUGCAAUGUGUGUCUAUGCAAUCGGGUUAGCUAGAACCAGUUUUGAAAGUUUUAGGAGUAAUGGUUAAAUAGCUAUUGACAUUUAAAAAUGUGUCACUGUGUUGACAGUCCCUAACUGCUGUUGGUGGAGUACAAGGAGAUGAUCGAGGGUGAACAAGCAACACUUCAGCACUACCUCACUACUUUAGCACAUGGCCACAGUUGCAUGUGUUUCAAUGUGAAAUCUUUAAGAGAUUGUGUAUGAUAUGCCAUUUACAAUGACGUCCCAGGGACUCAUCUGGAUGUCCCAGGGACUCAUCAGGGACUCAUCUUAAAUGUAUGUCCAACCAACCUCACAACUUCAGACCAUGUGUAAC